rnacentral:rRNA from 1 species
AAGGCUUCAGUACGACCCAGUCAGAACUAUAAGUCUCAAAGCCCCGACGAGUAGGGUGGCGUGCCGGUGAGCGUUGAAGGCCAAGACGUGAGUCAGGCUGGAGCCGCCGGUAGUGCAGAUCUUGGUGGUAGUAGCAAGUACUCUGGUGAACCAACCUGGAGCUGUGAGGUCUGGAUUAGGGUUCCAUGUCAACAGUGAUUGAACAUGGGUGAGUCGAUCCUAAGCCAACUGUGAAAGCAGUGACAUCCCGACAAAGGUGCAUUAGGGGGUGUGCCCGGCGCUUGCAAAGCUCAUACUCGCCUCCUCUCGAUAUAGAACGUGAUCUCGCGCGCGCGUGCGCGUGUCAUGUUUGAGUGACUCAAUGAAUACGCUCAAGAGCGUUGAUGAUGAAGAUGAUGACGUGGUACAAUGAAAGAGAGGUGGCUUGGGCGAGGUGCUUGUGGAGCGUUUGAGAUGCGCACACUAUGCUCUCUGCGUUGGUUCUAUGUCUGGCGAAAGGGAAUGGGGACUUUGUUCCUUGACCGGUCCCGGCACCCUCGAUAGGCUUUGCCAUUCAAUGGUCCAUGCAAAUGGAACCAGGCCACAGCCGCCGGCAGUCGCCCGAGGAAGAGUUUUCUUUUCUGCUUAACGCACGAGAUCAUCCCUGGAAACAGUUCGGCUGGCGAAAGGGUGCCCCGUUGCGGCAGAGCGCCACGACUGUCGUGCGCGUCUCGGUGUUCCUGCCGGUCCGUGAAGACGUGGUCGAGGGGAUUGCACUUGUAUCAACGAAACGCCCGACAAGUUCGGGACGGACCGUACCCUAUAUCCGCAUCUGGUCUCCAAGGUUCGUAGCCUCUGCAGAGUCAGACACAUGUAGGUAAGGGAAGUCGGCAAACUCGAUCCGUAACUUCGGGAAAAGGAUUGGCUCUGAGGGCCGAGCUGGGCCGGGCCUUGCCUGCAAAGCAGUACCUAUAGUGACCGGAGUUUUAGGAGUGCGAGGGGCUCUAGUAGCUGCCUGCGUUCACGCGUGGGCACGAACGAGUCUACCGCUCCGCUCCAACCACGAACGGCUGUGACGGCAAGGGCUCUGGGCGGGAGCGUUCAAACCGUAUGCUUCCCAGCUCGUCUGGGUGGUUGCGGGGCUUCGUCUGACCCAUACGGCUCCAGCGGCUAGCGGCUAACUCAGAACUGUCAUGGACCAAGGGAAUCCGACUGUCUAAUUAAAACAAAGCGUCGUGACGGCCCCUGUUGGGUGUUGACGCGACGUGAUUUCUGCCCAGUGCUCUAA